UAAAUUAGUUCUGCCCAAUGAUUUAAUUAUUUAAUGGCUGCGGUAUUUUAACUGUGCGAAGGUAGCAUAAUUAUUAGUUUAUUAAUUGUAAACUUGUAUGAAUGGUUAGUUGAAAUUUAGUCUUUCUUUAAUUUUAUUUUUUSAAUUUAGAUUUUUUGUUAAAAUGCGAAAAUUCUUUUAUAAGACGAGAAGACCCUAUAAAACUUUAUAUAUUUAUUUAGUUUAAAUCUAUUUGGUAUAUUGGAUUGGGGAGAUUGUGGAAUUUUAUUAACUUUCAUUAUUUUUGUUUCAUUGAUUGUUGUUUUCUUGAUUUAAUUUUAUGAAUAUAAGAUAAAGUUACUUUAGGGAUAACAGCGUUAUUUAGUUGAGAGUUCUUAUUGAUAACUAUUUUGCGCCUCG
rnacentral:rRNA from 1 species